GGGGGCAUAGCUCAGUUGGGAGAGCAACAGACUGAAGCCAAUCCGCAAGGGUGGUCUUCUGGAGGUCCCGCGUUCAAUCCGCGGUGCCCCCA